rnacentral:rRNA from 1 species
GUAGUUUGAUCCUGGCUCAGGAUGAACGCUAGCUACAGGCUUAACACAUGCAAGUCGAGGGGCAGCAUUUUAGUUGCUUGCAAACUGAAGAUGGCGACCGGCGCACGGGUGAGUAACACGUAUCCAACCUACCGAUAACUCCGGAAUGCCUUUCGAAAGAAAGAUUAAUACCGGAUAGCAUACGAAUAUCGCAUGAUAUUUUAUAAAG